GAUGAAGAACGUAGCGAAAUGCGAUAAGUAAUGUGAAUUGCAGAAUUCAGUGAAUCAUCGAAUCUUUGAACGCGCAUUGCGCCCGCUAGUAUUCUGGCGGGCAUGCCUGUUCGAGCGUCAUUUCAACCAUCAAGCCCUGUUUAGGCUUGUGUUGGGGCCCUGCGGCUGCCGCAGCCCCCUAAAUGCAGUGGCGGGCUCGUUGUCACUCCGAGCGCAGUAGCGUAUCUCGCUCUGGGCGUGGCGGCGGGUGCUAGCCGUGAAACACCCACUAAGGUUGACCUCGGAUCAGGUAGGAAUACCCGCUGAACUUAAGCAUAUCAAUAAGCGGAGGA
rnacentral:misc_RNA from 1 species